UGUGGAAUGGCCGAGCGGUUUAAGGCGGCGGAUUGUAAAUCCCCUGUGGGUAACCACGCCCAGGUUCAAAUCCUGGUUCCACCA
rnacentral:tRNA from 1 species